GCCUGUUAAGGAUAUAUGCUUAGUUUGUAUUUGUAGGAAUGUUGUUGUUUAAGUUGCUAGCUGUUUAUUCGUCACAUAUAUCUAAUUAAGAUGUAGUGGUAAAACUUGUAAUCGAAGAUAACUCAUCAAAGAUAUCAAGCUAAUAAUUAUAUACGCCAAACACGCGUUUAUUCUACAAUGGACUUUCAGUGACAUUACAUUAAAAUAAUAUAAUUCCACAUAAGGUACGAAGAUGAAGAGCAUGUUUGCCAAACAGUUUCUUUAUAAAUAUAACAAUGAUAUUGUUUGUCAAUAUUGAAGUGCUAACUUCUGGUCUUCUGAUACCAUGGGAGAUGAUACCUUAAUUACAAGUGACAUGGACCAAAAUGUUGUCAAUAUAGGCAAACGGGAUAAUAUUCUUUCCAUAUCUGUAAUUUUUGUCAUUUUUGGUAAAGAUGUAUCACUGGCUGAAUCUACGGUGUUAAUAUAUCAUAUUUUGUUAGGUGUAUUCUUGUUUGUAGUUAUGUUUGUCAUUUCAAUGAACGCAAUUCAUGUAUUACUGGUUAAUUAUUAAUUCCAUUGAACUAAAUCCUGCUUCAUUGGGGUAAAAAUCUCGAGACUGGAAAAAGGGUAGCAAAGGGAAUUUGUCUUAUGCUUGUUUGCAUUUAAACUAUGACCUUAUCUGCGAACAAUAAUUGUCCUUAUACCAGUCGUUCCUCGGACAUAAAUAUUGUUGCAUUUCAAGGUACGUUCAUAGUUGAUACAAUGAGAACUUAAAUCGUACCUUCAAUUGAAUCAUCGUUUAUGUGGGCAGGCGAUGAUUUCUGGUAUUCUUUACGCAUAUUACAAAGCUUUUUCUGACCAUUAGCAUGUUUAGUUUAAGGUUCUGGUGCAAAACUUAGUUGGCAUUCAUUUUGUAGACGAGUACAAUUAUAAAUUCUAAUAAUAUGUUUUAAUACUUGAAUAAUCAGUUAAAAGGCUGGGUCAUUUUGACCAUUUAACCUUUUUUUUUAACUUUAAAGCGUUACUCAUAUAUAUUUCAUAGAGAUACUCCUUCCUAAGGCACAAGUUAUACGGGCACAUACAUUGUGUAGGAACUAGACAACAUCCAGCUAGGACACACAUAUUAAUUAUAAUAAAAGCAAAAGCCUUGUGUGACCCUUCACAUUGAGCAGAUUCUUAUCCGUGUUAUAUAGAUAUAGGAAGAUGUGGUGUGAGUGCCAAUGAGACAACUCUCCAUCUAAAUAACAAUUUUAAAAAAGUAAACCAUUAAAGGUCAAUGUACGGCCUUCAACACGGAUCCUUGGCUCACACCGAACAACAAGCUAUAAAAGGCUCUCAAACGGGAAAACCAACGGUCUAAUCUAUAUAAAAAAA
rnacentral:lncRNA from 1 species